GUGUUUUCAAAGACUAAGCUUAUGUUUGCAUUGAUCUCUAUUAUAUUUUCAUUUCUACCUCACCUAUUUCUGCUCAUCUCUGCUACGUGGCUCCUUGUGCUUGCUUUGACUUCUUACUUUCCAUACCUCUGCCAUGAAAUUUUAAAUCACAGACUUUCAGAGCUGGAAGGAAACAGACCCGCUCUCCCGCCUCGUUUUACAAAGAAGCCCAGAGGGGAAGGGCAUGUGCCUGAAAUCCUGCAGCUGGUAAUAAGAGACCAUCCACAUUCUCGAUUCCGGCUUCUCCCCUUGCUCACCACUCUCCUCCACCCGUCACUCUCUCUCCUGCCCUGUUCCUCCUUCCCCUGACCCACAAGACAGCAAGAUUGUCGGACUGACACAAUUCAGAAGAAAGAGGCAAACAUCUCCCUCAAAAGAUGCAUAAGAACUUAGGAGGAGGGGGUCAAGAAUCCGACUGCAGCUGCUCAGGUGGCUGCAGAAGCCCAGGUUCAAUGCUGGCCCCGCGCAGUGGGUUAAGGAUCUGGUGUUGCUGCAGCUGGGGCUUGGAUACAAUCACUGGUCCAGGAACUUCUAUAUGCCGUGGGAGCAGAGGGAGAUGCCAAAGGUAAUCAAACACAGGACAAUUUUAUAAAACAAAACUCAGGCUGCCUUCUAGAAGGUUAUGGUUGGAUCUAUUAAAAAUUCUGAUAUUCAUAGCAGAUAUUUGGCAAGAAGCAAAAAUAGAUGGUAUCUUAAUGAACGGGGUAUCGGUGUCAGAAUGCAAAGGUCGCCUUACAUUUUAGGUUAAACAGAUGAGCACGACCAGCCGUAAAAUGUACUGAAUUGUGUGUAAAAAGCACUGGCCCUGAGAGGGUGAAAGAGGAGCUGAGGUCUGACUUCUGGGCUCCCGUCCUGCCCUGUCUGGCCACCCCUGGGAUGUCAGGACUCUAGUGGCCUUGAGAUCCAGGGCUCUUCCUUUUCUAAAGACCGUGGCUAAGGAAGACUCUGAUGUUGGUCACAUCUAGUAAGCACACAUUGCUCAGGCGCCCUCUCCAGGGCAUUUCUACUCAAAGUUUUCCUUCAGGGCGAGCUCAAAGGCUUUCUUUCGUGUCUCAAGAAAUUUGAAGCAGAGUUGAUAAGGUCGGUAGGUAUGGGCAGGGGCUCCCCGGGUGCCCGGAAAUCAUUCCAUCCGCUCUAAGACCUGAACAUUUCGGCACAAACUUACCAUGUCCUUCAAAAAUAAGUCUAGUCCCUAAGAGUGUGUGCACAUGCGCGCGCGCGCACACACACACACACACACACACACACUGGUCCAGUGUCUGAGAUACUGAUGCAGUGUGAUGCCCUGAGAGAGGUCGAGAGAACAGCAUUUCCAAGAUGUAUCCAACCACAAGACAUUUUCUUCAAGUAGCAUCCACAGGUCUGGGUUAAAUAACGCCACCCCCCGAAGAAAAGAAAGACGCCUUUACCUGGAACCUCAGAAUGUGACUUAGCUUGGAAUGAAGGAAAUUAAGAAUCUUGAGAUGAGACGAUCCCGGAUCGCUUAGGGUGGCCCUAAAUC
rnacentral:lncRNA from 1 species